rnacentral:rRNA from 1 species
UACGAAGGGGGGCUAGCGUUGCUCGGAAUCACUGGGCGUAAAGGGUGCGUAGGCGGGUCUUUAAGUCAGAGGUGAAAUCCUGGAGCUCAACUCCAGAACUGCCUUUGAUACUGAGGAUCUUGAGUUCGGGAGAGGUGAGUGGAACUGCGAGUGUAGAGGUGAAAUUCGUAGAUAUUCGCAAGAACACCAGUGGCGAAGGCGGCUCUCUGGACCGAUACUGACGCUGAGGCGCGAAAGCGUGGGGAGCAAACAGG